CGGCAGUGAGACGGUGGGGGAUAAGCUUCAUCGUCAGAAGGGAAACAACCCUGAUCAGCAGCUAAGGUGCCUAAACCAUGCUAAGUGGAAAGGAUGUGGGAUUUCGCAGACAGUGAGGAUGUUGGCUUAGAAGCAGCCACCAUUUAAAAAGUGCGUAAUAGCUUACUCAUCGAGAGAUCCUGCGCCGAAAAUGAUUGGCGAUAAGCAUGGUACCGAAGCUCUGGGUGUUCAUCUUAUGGAUGGGCGCGGUAGAGGAGCAUUCCCAACGCGUUGAAGGGUGAUGGCGACUGACCCUGGAGAGUUGGGAAGAGAGGAUGCAGACAUGAGUAACGAUAAGACCGGUGAAAUCCCGGUCCGCCGUAAACCCCAGGUUUCCCGGGCUACGUUUUUCGUCCCGGGGUUAGUCGGGACCUAAGCCGAGGCGGAUACGCGUAGGCGAUGGACAGCAGUUUAAUAUUACUGCACUUGCGAAACUCAAGUAGGGAGGACGCAUCAACAAAGGCCACUAGGUGAUUGAAUUCCGAGGUGAGGCUACGGCCGAUCCGUAUGGCUGGUGUUGGUGCCGAGAAAAGCCCCUAUGCAUGCUAAGCAACCCGUACCGUAAACCGACACAGGUGGGUGGGUAGAGUAUACCAAGGCGCAAGAGUGAACCCUGGUUAAGGAACUCGGCAAAUUAGCCCCGUAACUUCGGAAGAAGGGGUGCCCCAUGCAAAUGGGGCCGCAGUGAAAUGGCCCAACCGACUGUUUAGCAAAAACACAGCACUCUGCCAAGACGCAAGUCCAAGUAUAGGGUGUGACACGUGACCAAUGCGGAAAGAUUAAGGUAAGGGGUUAGUCGCAAGGCGAAGCUCUGAGCCCAAGUCCCCGUGAAUGUCGGCCGUAACAAUAACGGUCCUAAGGUAGCGAAAUUCCUUGUCGGGUAAGUUCCGACCUGCACGAAUCGUGUAACGAGUUGGGCACUGUCUCAACCAGGUGCUCAGUGAAAUUGUAAUGGCGGUGUAGAUGCCGCCUACCCGCAGAAGGACGGAAAGACCCUAUAGACCUUAACUGUAAGCUGUCAUUGGUUUUUCGAUUCUCAUGCUCAGCAUAAGUGGGAGACGUUGAUCUGGCCCUUUAGGGGGUCGGGGAGUCAUCAGUGAGAUACCACCCUUGGGUGUUGGAAGAUCUAACCCCGAUCCGUGAAACCGGACGGGAAACAGUGUCAGCCGGUCAGUUUUACUGGGGCGGUAUCCUCCCAAAGAGUAACGGAGGAGCGCGAAGGUGGGCUCAGCAUGGUCUGCAACCAUGUGUCGAGUGCAUAGGCAUAAGCCCGCCUAACUGUGAGGCCUACAAGCCGAGCAGAGACGAAAGUCGGCCUAAGUGAUCCGGCGGUAGAAUGUGGAAUUGCCGUCGCUCAACGGAUAAAAGGUACCUUAGGGAUAACAGGCUGAUUUCGCCCAAGAGUUCAUAUCGACGGCGAAGUUUGGCACCUCGAUGUCGGCUCGUCGCAUCCUGGGGCUGGAGAAGGUCCCAAGGGUCCGGCUGUUCGCCGGUUAAAGCGGCACGCGAGCUGGGUUCAGAACGUCGCGAGACAGUUCGGUCCUCUAUCCUCUGUGGGCGCAGGAAAACUGAGGGGUUCAAUUCCUAGUACGAGAGGACCGGAAUUGACGCACCUCUGGUGCACCGGUUGUCGUGUCAACGGCAUGGCCGGGUAGCUAUGUGCGGAAGGGAUAAGCGCUGAAAGCAUCUAAGCGCCAAGCCCCUCCCAAGAUGAGUUUUCCCUGAAGGAUCGUGGAAGACUACCACGUUGAUAGGCCGGAAGUGGAAGUGUAGCAAUAUAUGCAGCUUACCGGUACUAAUCAUCUG
rnacentral:rRNA from 1 species